rnacentral:rRNA from 1 species
AUUGAACGCUGGCGGCAUGCUUUACACAUGCAAGUCGAACGGUAACAGGCCGCCAGGUGCUGACGAGUGGCGAACGGGUGAGUAAUGCAUCGGAACGUGCCCAGUCGUGGGGGAUAACUACUCGAAAGAGUAGCUAAUACCCCAUACGAUCUAUGGAUGACAGCGGGGGACCGUAAGGCCUCGCGCGAUUGGAGCGGCCGAUGUCAGAUUAGGUAGUUGGUGGGGUAAAGGCUCACCAAGCCAACGAUCUGUAGCUGGUCUGAGAGGACGACCAGCCACACUGGGACUGAGACACGGCCCAGACUCCUACGGGAGGCAGCAGUGGGGAAUUUUGGACAAUGGGCGCAAGCCUGAUCCAGCAAUGCCGCGUGCAGGAAGAAGGCCUUCGGGUUGUAAACUGCUUUUGUACGGAACGAAACGGCUCUGGUUAAUACCCGGGGCUAAUGACGGUACCGUAAGAAUAAGCACCGGCUAACUACGUG